rnacentral:lncRNA from 1 species
AGCCUGUAAAACCAAUGGUGUAGGUUAUCGAUGAGCCCGUAAAACCAAAGGUUAGGUUUAAUUGGUGAUCCUGUAAAACCAAUUGUAGGAUUUUUGGAUUGUGAGCCCGGCAAAAUAAUCCAACUGUAAUUCGAGAGAUUAUAGUGAAUUUCCAACGGAACGUGUAGAGAGUGGACGUCGUAGGUGCCUUGGGGUGCACCGAACAACUAUACUUGUUUUGUGUUUGUAUUGUAUUCAUUUUGCUUCCACUACACUUAUACAAUUCACAUAAGCCAAAUUACUC